CCCCAGUAAACGGCGGCCGUAACUAUAACGGUCCUAAGGUAGCGAAAUUCCUUGUCGGGUAAGUUCCGACCCGCACGAAAGGCGUAACGAUUUGGGCACUGUCUCAACAACAGACUCGGUGAAAUUGGAAUUCCGGUGAAGAUGCCGGAUACCUGCGACAGGACGGAAAGACCCCAUGGAGCUUUACUGUAGCUUGACAUUGGGUCUUGGUACUACAUGUACAGGAUAGGUGGGAGGCUUUGAAACCAGGACGCCAGUUUUGGCGG
rnacentral:rRNA from 1 species